ACACCCACCACUACAAGCACCCCCGGUACAGCGAAGCACCGGAUCCGAAGUUGCGCAGCUAGCCAUGCAGGACGCAUACAACGCUGCGUGCGCGACGUUGCUCCGCGAGCAGGAGGCCGUUUCUGUCAAGCAGGACGUCACCCGACUUUUCGACUUCUUGGAGGCAAUAAAGAACUGCCACGGCAGCAGUUAGAAGCUCGAUUGUGGCUGCGAGGGCAUCUCCGCGCGCUCCUUCGCGCUGCGGCUCGCGCUCUUUGGCAAGCGGGCGCAUCCCCUUUGGGGCAACGGCACGCCUGGCAUGCACGCCGGAGAUGUGUUUAGCUGUAUCAGCGGCUCGGGCUGCAUCAGCAGCAUCCUGUGCACUUACUAGCAGGCGAAGAAGGCAAUCGCCGGCAUCUUCAUGAUUGCUGGUGGCGCCGGUGAUGUGCCCCCGAAGGACUCUGCGUGCACCACCAACACCCUCCUUCGUUCCCGCGAUGGUGCACCGUCGUACUUCCACGGAGGUGGUGCACCCUGAUCAGUCGAUGGGCAGCCGGUUCGAGUACGACUUGUCUCUGCUGCGCUAUUCGGCCGUGAUACUCUUGGAGGAGAUGCAGCGGGCGCAUGACGAAAUCGAGCGCCGCCGCUGCAGGGGCGGAGUCCAACGAAAGGUAGCGCAUGCGCAUAUCGACAUGUGAGCCUCUUUUUUGCGGGCGCCGUGCCGCUUCCCUCUCCCUCUUUUCUAAUUCUCUGUCUCCGUCUUACGAUAGCGACAAAGAAAGAGGGUGAUGCGGCAUCGCUGGUCUCUCCCCCCCACACACACACACAUACACACACACCACUCUCAGCGCUCUCUCUCUAUCGCCGCUCGCUCCCUCGACCCUUCCCGCGUUACCGUGCCCGAGGGGAGUUGCCCGUGCGCGGUUCGUGGUGGACUUGCUGGCACGCUCGCACUCGGUACCUCUCCAUGUGAGCACCGCUCCAUGUUACUUCUUCCUGCUGCCUUGUGUCUCCUCUGCCUGCUCCUCUUCGUACGCAUUUGUGCCCCGAACAACACGCACGCACAACAACAAG
rnacentral:misc_RNA from 1 species